rnacentral:lncRNA from 1 species
UCCACUGUGUUUUAGUUAUAACAUUACAUUUGCCUUGAUACUGCUCAUACCAAUCGUAAAAAGUAAUGUUUAUAUGUUCAUUGUUAAUGAAUCAUUUCCAUCUAUUAACAAUCUUUUCGCGCUCCUUUUUAGAAGGGUGAAUAGACCGAAAUAAAUGUCUUUUUUCUUUAUUAGAUUUGGAAUUGAAAUCUUUAACAAGAUUUUCCCAAUCUAAUUUGAAUUCUUUUUUAAUGACUCUUAAUUGGUUGUUAAUAGGAAUCUCAAAAUCAGAUUGAGUCGAAAACUCAGAAGGGGUAGGAGAAGAAGAACCUUCUUCUUCUACAGGGACUUUCUGAGUAUAACAAGGGUGACUAGCUUGGCCUCAAUUAAGGAUACCUUUCAAUUUUAUAUCCCUAAUAGAAGGGUUACUAAGGACUUCAGUGUCUCUUCUAGUAUGAACAGAAGGCGCUGAAGAACUAGUAAAAUCUUCUAUAAUGACUCGUCUUCUACUACGCUCAAAACUUAUUUUGACAGUUCAAUCAGAGAAUUGUUUAACAUUUUCAAUAUUUAACAGGUUGUUGAGGUAUUUCACUGGGUAAAGUCCAUUGACUAGGUAACGUAAUAUCUUUCCAGAGGAUGGUUCUCGGGAUCUGAAUAUUAGCAUCACUAGUUGAAAUUUGAAUUAAAACUAUUUGAUCUUUAGGACUUUUAUUAAGAGCAUGAACG